rnacentral:lncRNA from 1 species
UGACCCUGCCAAAUCCCCCUCUGUGAGAAACACCCAAGAAUGAUCAAUAAAAAAAAAAAAAAUAAAAUAAAGUAGAAGGGUGGGGGAAAUGUGAUUAUUCCAAACCCGGCGUGUCUUUAUGAUUUUAUAUCCAACUGAUCAUUCAGGGAGGUUAUUAGGACAGUGGUUGAAACAGAAAUUUAGGAUAAUAUUCUAAGAAACAGAAAAAGCAGUCUUCUCAUUCUAACUGGCAAAACCAACAGAGAUAACAAAAAAAAAUUUUUUUUUUCCCCAGGAAGAGCGUGUGCAUUCAAACUUGUUCAUUCAUUAAUUUGAGUUGAAGGGAGGGGGACGUCCUUGGUGGAAAAGUUAAAGAAAGUGCUCUGGAUGAGAAAUUCACAGGGAGACAUAAGACAACAGCUCAGAGUGGAAGAAAUAGAUGUUCUCAGGAAGAGGCUGUAUGCUGUCCUGGUUUCGAGCAUCUGCCCUACAGUCAGAAUGCCUGCAUUUGAAAUAAGUUUCUGCCACGAACUAGCUGUAAGACCGUGGGUGAGUUAUUCAACCUUUCAGCACCUCAUCUCCUAAAAUGGGGAUAAUGUUUUCUUCCCCAAAGACUUGUGGGGAGGGACCAAAAAUUAAAUGGAUUAUUGAAUGUAAAGUGCUUAGACCAUUGGCCAACAGUUCGUCAGUGCCCUAUAACUGUUGCCUGUUUAGCAUGUCAUAAACACAUGACUCGCAUACAUUACAUUAAAAUAGAGCAGAGUAUUUAAGUCCAGGGAAAGGAAACUAUUAUCAGAUGACUGCUCUCUUCCAGGCACUGUAACACUAUUUUCUCAUGAUCCUCUCUUUAAUCUUUGCAAUAACUCACAAGGUAGGUUUUACCAGUUGCAGUUUCCUGAGGAGGAAACCAAAGCUGGGAAUUAUUUUAUCCUCAAAGUGGCAAUAAGUUGUUGGCCACAACCGGGAUAUUCCGCUUUUCUCCUCACAUUUAGAAAUGUCAUGUGGCUGUGAGUCACCUUGUGAGGAUCUUGUCACAUCCUUAGACUGUACUGCCAACACUGAAAAUGCACUGUGGCUGACCCGUUUAAGCAAAGCCAGGCUGCAAUUUUCCUGUGGAUUCCCAUUCCAGCAGUUAGGCUGGGCUCUCCUAUGAUUUUGCUACCACUGCGAUUUUGCUGUGUGGCUACUUUAGAGACUAGAGACUGCCUAAUGUGAGCAAUAGGUGAUCUAACGGACAAUCAUUAUUGGUUGACUCAGCAUCUAUCAGUUGACUAAAGUUGCCUUUAGU